UGGUCAUCUCUACCUGGUUUUUUUUCUAUUCUUAGAUUUUUCGUUUCUAUAUUCAAUUUAUUCUAUCUCUAUUAUGAGGAUUUAGAUUUCCUAAUUUAGUACUGGGUGAUUUUUGACUUGGUAUUACAGGUAGAGCACUUGAUGUGUAGUGUUUUGGAUGCAGAGGUGGGAAGUGGUAUUGGCUGACUUUCUUGUAAACCAUAGGUUUUAAUUACCCUUGAUACAUUGAAUUUUUUGUAUGUUUGUUCUGCUGGCUAUCUUCUUCAGUGAGUUCUGGAUUUUUUAUUUUGGUGGUGUAGGGUAACGUCACAGUGACUGUGUUCUUAUGUUGUUUCUGGGAAUUGUGAUCCUGUUCUUUAUGCAGCU